rnacentral:sRNA from 1 species
AAACGCACGUGAGGGAAAUCAGAUGACUGGACUUGUAGAUACUAACGGUUCUGAAGCGGAAUGGCUUAUUCAGAAGAGCAUAAAGGUAUGCCCUGUGGUUUCAUCCGCCAGAAUUCCGGCAACUCCAUUUCCUUGGACUUUGAGCCCAAUAUAGAGUACCAGUUUGUGGAGCGGUUGGAAGAGCGCUACAAAUGUGCCUUCUGCCACUCGGUGCUUCACAACCCCCACCAGACAGGAUGUGGGCACCGCUUCUGCCAGCACUGCAUCCUGUCCCUGAGAGAAUUAAACACAGUGCCAAUCUGCCCUGUAGAUAAAGAGGUCAUCAAAUCUCAGGAGGUUUUUAAAGACAAUUGCUGCAAAAGAGAAGUCCUCAACUUAUAUGUAUAUUGCAGCAAUGCUCCUGGAUGUAAUGCCAAGGUUAUUCUGGGCCGGUACCAGGUUGGUAUUACUCAUGAACGAUAUCUGCUUUUGCCAUUUUUCCAGGGAUGUGUGUUGAACCCCUUUAUGUGACAGUUACUGAGCUAAGCAUGGUACAGGGAUUCAGUGAAUUGCCCUCAAGGACUCCCAGUCUAGCAAUACAGGUGGCUACAGUGCUGUAGCCCACCUACGGCUGAGGUGUGAGUGAAGAGGUUCGUCCUGUAUGGAGCGCAUGGAGGACAUCUUGUAUCCACUAGACCUUAAUUGUGUGGUAGGGAUCAUUGAGCCAAAAGAGAGGGCGUGGGACAUGCUGGACAAAACAAACACUCAAGAAUAUGCCAUUUUGGGGGAACUGUGUGGGACCCAGGGCAUGACUACAGAAAGACACAAUUGUGAGGUCCUUCCCCAAAAGCAUUUGCUCUCUCACUUGGUGCUGUCGUAGGUGUUUCCCAGCAACUGUGGGACCUGGCCUCGUGGGGUUUAUGAUCUAACACAGAUCACUCAGACCAGGACAGAGACAGGCUGUGGGUUAAAGGUGAAGCAUUGAUAGGAGAGACAAACCAACAAGGUGUAGGGGAAAUGUAAGUGAAGGGGAAUUGAUGCCUUUCAAAUGAAGUGACCCCAGCUGCUCUUCCUUCCAGCUAGGGAAGGUGGUUAAAGGGGAAGCUGGAAGUGUGGCGCUGCCUGGCAGGCCCAGGUCAAGUUUGAUCACACUGCAAGUGAACAUGACUCAGGCUUCUCUAACUUCCAAGGAAUUGCUGAGAGGCUGCUGAAAUUUCUCCCGCACACCCACACAUUUUGGAACACAUAUUUCAGAUGAUUCAGUCUUUUCUCUAUCACACCUCCAAAUCCCUCAGGGACUGAGCUUAUAAAUGUGUAAAUGAUUUCCUUGUUAAUCCAGGAAUUUAUUUGGAGGUUCAUAGAACUUUUGUUAUGUUUUCAUGUGUCUUUUGCCCCUUGUUUUGAAUAGUCGAGUCCUAGAGCAAGGCCUUUUUUCCAACUUUGUUGUCACUAAGCCUAAAAAGUAAGUGAGGCUCAAAUGGACCAUUGAACAGCUUUAGUGACCAAAACUGGCUUAUGGAGAGCAGGGCCUGGUUUCUCUCCACCUGUUUCUUUUAUAUUUCCCCUCAUUCCUUGUUUCCCACCCACCCCCUUCUAUGGUAAGGUGUAGCAUCUUACAGGUAGCAGAGUUUUGAUGAAUAUUGACUGUUUGGGUGAGAGUUGAGGAGUAAUAUCAACCAAUUUUGGAGAAGAGAUGGAUUCCAACUGUGAUCACCAUAUGAUUCUUACUACCAGAGGUGAAGGAGAAUAGCUGCAUUUGUUUAUCUCACUGUCAAAAAACUGUUUGCUUUUUCUUCUGAGAAGGGAUCAGCAAACUCUGUUAAGAGUCAAACAAUAAUCAUCAUCAUCAUCAUCAUCAUCAUCAUAAAGAGCCAGAUAGUAACUAUUUUAGGCUUUGCAGGCCAUACAGUCUCUGUCACAAUUACUCAGCUCUCCCAUUUUAGAGGCAAAGCAGCUAUAGACAAUAUGUGAAGGAAUAGGUGUGGCUCCUCUCCAAUAAAACUUUAAUUAUAAAAACAAGUAGCAGGCCAGAUUUGGCCUGUGAGUCUUAGCUUGCCAAUUUUGUCUUAAAGGACCCUCAGGGGGACAAGUUCUCUAACAUUUUGUUAACUUGCCAGCAUCACAAUAACUGCAAUGAUUCAAAGGUUUUCACUGAGAUAUGCCUGCUUUUAAACCUCUAGAAUGUUGGCCAGGCGUGGUGGCUCAUGCCUGUAAUACCAGCACUUUGGGAGGCCGAGGUGGGCAGAUUACCAGAGAUCAGGAGUUUGAGACCAGCCUGGCCAACGUGGCAAAACCCUGUCUUUACUAAUAAUACAAAAAUUAGCCGGGCAUGGUAGCUGGUGUCUGUAAUCCCAGCUACUUGGGAGGCUGAGGCAGGAGAAUCGCUUGAAACCUGGGAGGCGGAGGUUGCAGUAAGCCAAGAUUGCGCCACUGCACUUCAGUCUGGGUGACGGUGCGAGACUCUGUCUAAAAAAAAAAAAAAAAAAAAAAAAAAAAACCUAGAAUGUCCAGCCUGGCCAACAUGGUGAAACCCUGUCUCUACUAAAAAUACAAAAAUUAGCUGGGUGUGGUGCACACCUGUAAUCCCAGCUAAUCUGGAGGCUGAGGCACAAGAAGCUCUUCAACCCAGGAGGUGGAGGUUGCAGUGAAUGGAGAUUGCACCACUUCACUCCAGCUUGGGUGACAGAGAGAGACCCUGACUCAAAAAUAAAAUUUUAAAAAGUAAAAAUAAAAUAGAAUGUGAAGAACCCUGGAAUGAACACUGUCCAUGUAAUCAUUCUCUAAUAUUAAAUAAUAUUAAAUAGUAUAUAAUGUUAUAUAUUAUAUUACAUAUAAUAUAUUAAAUACUAUAAUAUAUAUUGUUUAUAAUAAAUACAUUAUUUACAUGUAAAUAAUUAAAUGUUUAUUUUUAAUAAUAAAUAACAGAAUAUUUAAAAUAACUUUUAAAAUAAAAUUAGAGAAUAUUUAAAAUAAAAUUUAAAUAACUUAUUAUUUGUGUUACCUAGGCUGGAGUGCAGUGGCACAAUCAUAGCUCACUGCAGCCUCAAACUUCUGGACUCAACUGAUCCUCCCACCUCAGCCUCCUGUGUAGUUGGGACCAUAGGUGUAUACCGCAACACUUGGCUAAUUAAAAAAAAAAAAAUUUGUGGAGACAAGGUAUUGGGGUCUCACUGUGUUGCCCAGGCUGGACUUGAGUCCUGGCCUUAAGUGAUCCUCCCAUCUCAGCCUCCCAAAGUUCUGGGAUUACGAGCAUGAGCCACCACACGUGGCCAAUAAAGUAUUAUUAAUGGUUAAAAAUAUUUCCUGAUUUUACCAGUCUGACCAUUCCUAGCUUCUCUUGGGCUUGCAUACCUAUAUUUCCUCCGUCUCCUUUUCUUUAUCAUUUCUGGAAUAGCUUACUGUCCCUUCUUUUCAUCUUCUUAAUCCUUUCCCUUUCUUCCUUGAGUUAGGAUAUGCCCUUCUCUCCUUUUUUCCUUUUCCUGUGUCCUUUUACCAUCUGCUAUGCAGAGACCCAUACUUGAUGCUGGAGGUCGGGAUGAAGAGUCCACAAAAGAAAUAAAAAUGUCCUUGAAGAACUGGUAAAUUAAGGAAAAUAUCCAAGAACUAACCUGAGAAUAUGAGCACAUUAUUAGAUCAUCUAAAACAAACUUGGUGUACUUCCCUCUUCACCUAUCUUCCCCUGUCCUCUGAAUUUCCCCCAACCAAGACUGGCUUUCCCAUCUCUGGUACAAGCAGCCCUCCCCAUGCCCUCUCCUCAGCAGAGGCAGUGGGCAGCAUCCCCUGAGAGCCUACCCUCUGCCUUGCCCUGUGCAAGCCUUUCUGCCCAGCUGCCCACCCUGUUCUCUCUCCCUCCCUAGGCCUUCCAGCUGACUUCUUUCCUACCACCCUGGUCAGCAGGUCCCACUGGCCUGUUGUUAUCUGUUGCAGGAUCACCUUCAGCAGUGCUUAUUUCAAGCUGUGCAGUGUUCUAAUGAGAAGUGCCGGGAACCAGUCCUACGGAAAGACCUGAAAGAGCAUUUGAGUGCAUACUGUCAGUUUCGAGAGGAAAAAUGCCUUUAUUGCAAAAAGGAUGUGGUAGUCAUCAAUCUACAGGUGAAAAACAACACAUACAACAGUCAUCUUUAUGGAGCUAAAUUAUGCCUGAGUGGUCACAGUGAAUCAGGUGGAAUGCCAGAAGAACAUUCCUGCAUUUAUUUUUGUACAGAAUUAGGUCUAAAGAAUUUGCGCUUUGGAGAGAAGUUCUGUGAAAAGCUUAAAACCUUCUUGUUGGUAGCACUCCAUUUAUUAUUGGCAAAAAUAUUAUUUGAACACAUGCUGUGUAUGUGUAAUGAAUGCUGGGUGCUGAGUCACAAGGAGGUGACAAUAAUGUCUACUCUCUGAAUUCUGCAGUGUAGCUGGGGAGGCAGGAUGCCGGCAUAAAAAGAAAGCAUGGGUACCUUUUACAUGUCCCGAAGGAGCUAUGCUGGCAGUUCCCCAAUCUACCUUCUUUGAAUCCUGUGUUCUAUGACUUUCUUUUGGAAUAAUUGGAAAAUUUAAUAUUUUAAUUAAGUUCAUUUACACCUAGAAAGUGGACAUCUUUAAUCCUUUUUUGGAAUUAGGCAAUAACUUCCUGUAGAGAGUAAGCCACGUGACAUAUAUAAUCCCCAAAGAGACACAGGUGUAAUCACUGUUAGGCCAUGAAAGACAACCCUUUGUUUUAUUGCACUUUCUCUAUUUCAGAAUCAUGAGGAAAACUUGUGUCCUGAAUACCCAGUAUUUUGUCCCAACAAUUGUGCGAAGAUUAUUCUAAAAACUGAGGUGGAUGAACACCUGGCUGUAUGUCCUGAAGCUGAGCAAGACUGUCCUUUUAAGCACUAUGGCUGUGCUGUAACGGAUAAACGGAGGAACCUGCAGGAACAUGAGCAUUCAGCCUUACGGGAGCACAUGCGUUUGGUUUUAGAAAAGAAUGUCCAAUUAGAAGAACAGGUAAAUCUUCAAAGGUUCAAAUAAAAAGUGAGGCAACAGAA